CAGGAGUUGCAGUGUCGAACGCGUGCCUCUAGUAACACAGCACAAACAGUACGGCACACACGUCGUACCCGAAAACUGAAAACACAGUUUCACUGACAGUUCCGACAUUACCUGACAUUUACCGCCGUCCUCCGAACUACGGCGGCUUAUCGCGUUUUGUAAACGGGUCGUCACAUUUCACGAUAGAUAUAACUAUUUAUAAAUAGAUGAAGUACGGCGGCAAGUUCAGUAGAUGAAACUCUCGUGUCCUGCAAGCUGCGUCAAACUUCACGUGGGGAAUAUGGAAAUCGACAGUGCCAAAAACAAUAAUUGAAUUAACUCCGAGUAAAAUAUGACCAUUUUCCGACAUGUGCGUUCCGUGUGACGAAGUGCAUUGAUAUGUUAAUUCUCCCGGGACAACCGAAAAGUUAACACCAUGUAAAUCUCUGGAUGUAUUCAAUGUUUACCUCUUCAGUGUUGUGAAUAACGGUUAGGUAAAUGUAGUUUAAAAUUAUCGAGUGAGAGCUAUGUAGGGAGAGAUAUUUAUUGUUAGCUGGUCGAUCUUAGACUGAUGUAGAGCUAUCGUGGUUGUGAUAAUUAAAGUGGAGUGCGUUUCCUUCCGUGGCCAAUGGACUUAUCAAUAAUACUUGGUUGUAAUUCUCAGUAAGUUGUGAGUUAACUAGAAAUUAUAAUAUUAUAUUUAUACAAAUACAAUUACGGAUAAAUGUGAACUGUAGAAGAUUUCACUUUUCACUGUCUUUUAAAUUUAAAAAGAUAACAGGUUGUGUAUGUAAUGCUAAGAACUUACCAUCUAUAAUUUCCCUUGGGUUGUGAAUACAAUAAACAGACUGAAUGCUGAAACUUAGAGCAUUACCAUUCACAGGGUAAAUUGCCCUUUGGAACUGCUUGCCGUUAGAGUUAUGGUGUAUUUUCUGGGACACAGUGAUACGUGCUCAGGUGACGAGAAACUUGACUGAAUCGAGGCCAAGAAUGAUCUGGUAGCCGAAGCUGUGCGGCGACUUCCAUGUUGUGAUGACGGCUGUUAAUUCGGUAUGUAAUCGUUUCGUCAUAAGCUGAGGUAAACAUUAUAAAACCCUUAUUCUUAUUAAAGUUUUAAAUAUUACGUUAAAACUAAUUUAUAAUAUAAUCUCACCAAAUAAACUCCUAGCGUCUGCGGCGAAAAUAUCACAAAGUAUAUCAAAUGAAAUUAAUUUAGAAAUGUUACGUCGGAAACUAGGUGGCUGCUCGCAUCGGAGCGUGCGAAACUUCGACACUAAACAAAAGGUGAAAUUCUGAAAGAAAAUAAAGGAAGCAAGGUAAAUAAAAGAGAGCAGAUGUCAGAAACACGGGAGCCGAACAAGUUUGCGGUGCCUGCAGUCACGAGCUUUCACCAUUUUUACGUAUAAUCUCAUUUAAAACUUAAAUAUAUUAAGUCGACAUUUAAAAAUGUAAAUUACAGUUUUUUUAAGCCUU